rnacentral:rRNA from 1 species
GCUACGGCCAUACCAGCCUAGAAUACGCCCGAUCUCGUCCGAUCUCGGAAGCUAAGCAGGGUCGGGCCUGGUUAGUACUUGGAUGGGAGACCGCCUGGGAAUACCAGGUGCUGUAAGCA